GUGUGCUCACUUUGCCACAAUUAUACUAAAAUUGGAACAAUACAAAGAAUAUUAGCAUGACCCCUGCGAAAGGAAGACACCCAAAUUCGUGAAGCGUUUCAUAUAUUU